UACGUAGGGUGCGAGCGUUAAUCGGAAUUACUGGGCGUAAAGCGUGCGCAGGCGGCCGAGCAAGUCGAGUGUGAAAGCCCCGGGCUUAACUUGGGAAUUGCGCUCGAAACUACUUGGCUAGAGUGUGGCAGAGGAAGGUGGAAUUCCACGUGUAGCGGUGAAAUGCGUAGAGAUGUGGAGGAACACCGAUGGCGAAGGCAGCCUUCUGGGCCAACACUGACGCUCAUGCACGAAAGCGUGGGGAGCAAACAGG
rnacentral:rRNA from 1 species